CACAUUUUAUUGAAUUAAAACUGUAAAAAUAAAUUUAGAAUUAAAAAAUGAAAUUUAAAUUUUGUAAAAAGCAGUUUAUAAAUUGAUAAAUUUUAUUUUUGCACCCUGUGUUAAGCAAUAUGCUAUAAAUCUAGCUUAUUUUUAUAAGAUUUAUAUAGAAAAUGAUAAUUUUUAGAGAAAUGCAUCUUAAAUUAUGGAUAAAUUAUGCAUUGAAGGAAUUGGGGAGUGUGUGGUUUCAGAUUGGUUACAUUGGUAAAAAAAGUGAUUGGCAAGCUCAUUCCAGAGCUCUCUAAGGGGCCCAAGAUUCACCGGCCAUGGGAUUCGAACAAGCACCAUAGUAGCCUAUUGCUCAUAUGGACCACACAUUAUAUGUUUUGAUGUUUCAGCAAAGGAUUGAUGCUGUAGUAAUCAACCAUGCAGUUACAAAAGCCUGGGUUUGAGUAUAUGACCUUACCUUAUCCUGGUAAAGAUCUAUAGAAGGACUCCUUCAGCUCUGUUUGGCAGCAGCUUUGUCAGGACACAUUGAGAAGGAACUCAUUUGUUGGUGGAAGGAUUAAAGAUGUACUACCCACCAGCUGUCAGGAGUUUUUAAAGUGGUGAAUUUAAACAGUGUUACAACAGAAUGAAGAUUUCUGAAAAAAGUAGAUGGCUAACCUAUUAUAUCUUGGGCAUCAUUUGACUUAGAUA